UGUAAUCCUUUAUCUCCAUGUCUCUCACUAUUUAGAGUGUUGAUAGAAAAUGUGUUUCAUUUACCCGACACAUUCCCAGAGACUCAAAGUAUCUUGAGGUACAUUAUUCCACUCAUCAUCCUGCCCCUCCCCCACCUCCUCUGGUCUCUCGUACAGCUGUGUGUUUGGUACCAAUACAACAAGGUUAGGACACACACUCUAACCACUAACAGUGUGAGCUGAUGAAAAUCAAAUGGUCUCUAACGUCACUGGGUGUGGCUUCUGAACAAACCCGUGUAGUGCUAUGGUACAUAAAGGUUUCUCAUUGGAGUCGAAUCUCUGCUGCAUAAGUGACAGACACAUGCCUUUAAAAGUUCAAGAAAGGAUGAAAUUUGAAUAGGUCUUUCUUUUCUCUCUUUCUUUCUCUCCCUGUCUCUCUUUCUCUUGACUAGCGUUAAAUUUACCUCAUUAUUAUUUUUAUCAUGAUCCUUAAACUUGAGAUUGUAUUACUUGGCUGUAAUAUCUAUGUACUGAUUGGACUCAUUUAAUUAAUGUGAGAAAAUUUUUGCCAUUUUGUGUAAAUUGAAAUAAAUGGAA